rnacentral:lncRNA from 1 species
AGUGACACGUGGGCCCACGAACGACCAAAGGUAUCUAGAGAGAUAAACCUACAUAUUUUGAGGAUGUCAAUCCAAUUGUAAUCCUCGAUGAAAUGAGCUAUCUACGAACUAUCUUGAGCCUAAAAUGAGUGGAAAUGAGGGUGGUGAGAUUAUAAAAUCCCAGUGAGUAAACAAAUACGAUAUAAAAUAUCUAAAGUCAAGUAAAUGGAGACAGAUAAAAUAAAUCAUCAUACUUUAAUUUAUCAUCUUUCUACUCAUUUCAAUUGAAUAAAAUUCAAUUCAUUUAAAUCGAGUAAUCAACAUGGCUUAUGAAUUUCUUAAAACUUUGGCUUGUGUCAAAAUCAUUAUCAUACUCAAUCAUCAAGGAUACCUUGGCCGAUGGCUAUCCCAAACGGAGUCCGCCAAGGCUAUUAAAAAGUUAUGUACUCAUAAAUCAUGUUUUUAUUUUGAAAAUAUAGCAGUUUCUUGGCAUUGGCUGAGUUUCCCUUCACGUGGUGGUCUGACGUGAAGUGAACUCUAAAAUGUUAGCCUCAGGAGUUAUCCACCUGUGCCUCUCAUAUUGAGGUAAGAUAUAAUGGGGUUUACCAUGCCCCUCUAAUAGGCUAGUCCACGGAAACCCGCCCACUGCAGUAAGCUAAUAAUUAUCCCACCAAUCAAUAAAAUUCAAUAAUAUGAUAUGUCAAUUAUUGUAAUUCACAGCCUUUCAAGGCUAAAUACUCAGUUCAUAUAUUUCAACACAAAUACCAAUUCAGCCAUUCAUGCCAAUAUUGUCAUAAGCCAAUCAAUUAGAACCAUAAAUUCACAAUACAUCAAAUGGUCUCCAAUUACUCUAUUUGAAAAGCCAUUAUUCAAUUUUAAAACAAUUUUAUGAAAUCAUUUCAUUAAAUCACAUUUUGUUUAUAAAACCAAAAAAUUAAUCAUUUAAUUCAUUUUCCAUGAAAUUCUCAAAAUCGGAUAAAAACCACUUUAGAUAAUUAGGAUGGUAGUAAGAUUACUCACAGUACUAGGAGUUUGAUAUACUCCUAUUCUCGGUCUUCGGGCACAAUCUCUUUACCCUUGUUAGGGGGCUCACCACCUAUACAUCAUACGUGACACGAAUUUCAAUAAAUUGUGUCAAUUUAUCAUAAACUAUUUCAGGCUCUCUAAAUCUAAAUGAAGGCAUGCGAUGGGAUGCAAAAUGUUCGAUUAAUCACUUAAAUGUGAUAUUCGACCUAAGUCACACUAUACUCGGUCUAAUCGGCUAAAAUCUCCAAUUUAACUCUAAAUCAAUUCUUCUCACUUUCUACAUUCCAAUUAUACCUAAAUUACCUCAGUGACUGUGAAUGAGAUUCAAUUUAUCAAUCUCGAGUCAAUAAUCACACAUAGGUGAAACUUCUCAAAGUUUCUCUUCUUUCUUUUAUUCUCUAAAUGGCCCGCUCUCAAGUCUCACCAAGGCCUAUUCACCUUUCUCUUUUACCCUUGAAUUUUGAUAUUUAUAUGGCCACCUAUUUAACCAAUCACAAUACAUGCACACAUCCACCUUUUAUUUUCAUUUGGCCAUUUUGCCAACCAAUGGGUUUUCAUGCACCAAUUUCCUUUAAUCCACAUUGGUUAAAUAUCCACCCUUCAUUAUCCUUCCCUUCUUUAAUCUAUAGACUUUUCUUGUCAAUGGAUGGGAUUCGCUUCACGUUUCCCGAGGGAAACAUCCAAUUAUAAUCUGUUUUAACGAAAAAUGCAAAAAAAUUCAACUUAAAAUCGAUAAUGAGAUUAUAAAACCAUUUAAAGCGAGUAAUAAGGCUUACAAAGGCAUUGGUGACUAUAAAUGGACUUUUCUUGCCAAUAGAUGGCUUUCGCUUCACGUUUCCCGAGGAAAACAUCCAAUUAUAAUCUGUUUUAACGAAAAAUGCAAAAAUAUUUAACUUAAAGUCAAUAAUGAGAUUAUAGAAAGAUUUAAAGCAAGUAAUAAAGCUUUCAAAGGAACCAACAAAAGUUAAAUUGUAUGGGAGGAUGGAAUAUGCAUGCAACAAAUACUAUUACAUGCAAAGAUAUGCAUGCAAGGAUGUACUUAAAGUGGGGAACAUGUGGGACCCUCACCAUGUGACAAAUAAAAAGGCAUAAGACAAAAUGAAUAGAUAACACAUGCAUGUGGAUUUUAAAGAUUAAAAGAAUGCAUGAAGGAUUUAUACAUGAUGGACACUUGGUGACAAUUAGAGUAAAAGAAAAGAAAAUAUAGGUGCAUGUAAUGUCAUUGGCCAAUGAGGAGGCCAAAUGGAAAUUAAGGUGGGAAAGUUGCAUGAAAGACCAUUAGGUACGUUAAGCAAAAAUUCAGAUUUUCACACCAAAAUUUCCUAUUUAAUUUCUAGCCUCACCAAACAUCAAAUAUCACCAAAAUAUCAUAAAACAUCAUCAAUUUCAGCCACAAUAUCGUCCCUAGAAAAUUCGGCCAAUGAUGGGUAAUGGGAGAAAAUGAAUUUUUCUUGUUGGCUUUUCAUGCUGCACAUCACUAACUAACUAAAAACACUAGAAUAUCUUAGAAUCUACCCAAAACAUCAUCAAAUUCUCUCUCCUAGGUGUUCGGCCAGCAAGGUUAUCCUCAUGAAAUCUUGAGUUCUAAGUAUGGAAAAUGAAAAAGAAAGCAUGGGUAGUGCAAAUCACAAGAUAAUAUCAAAAAAUUUUACCUUUAUUAGCUUAAUCCCUUGAAAUUCCACACUUUUUCUUCAAUUUUCCCACCUAGGGUUCUUG